rnacentral:rRNA from 1 species
UACGAAGGGGGCUAGCGUUGCUCGGAAUUACUGGGCGUAAAGCGCGUGUAGGCUGCUUCGCAAGUCGGAUGUGAAAGCCCUGGGCUCAACCCAGGAAGUGCAUUCGAAACUGCAGAGCUGGAGUCCUGGAGAGGAAGGCGGAAUUCUCGGUGUAGAGGUGAAAUUCGUAGAUAUCGAGAGGAACACCGGUGGCGAAGGCGGCCUUCUGGACAGUGACUGACGCUGAGGCACGAAAGCUAGGGGAGCAAACGGG